UCCUACGGGAGGCAGCAGUGGGGAAUAUUGCACAAUGAGGGAAACCCUGAUGCAGCGACGCCGCGUGAAGGAAGAAGUAUUUCGGUAUGUAAACUUCUAUCAGCAGGGAAGAAAAUGACGGUACCUGACUAAGAAGCCCCGGCUAACUACGUGCCAGCAGCCGCGGUAAUACGUAGGGGGCAAGCGUUAUCCGGAUUUACUGGGUGUAAAGGGAGCGUAGGCGGCGAUGCAAGUCAGAAGUGAAAGCCCGGGGCUCAAAUCCGGGACUGCUUUUGAAACUGUAUGGCUAGAUUGCAGGAGAGGCA
rnacentral:rRNA from 1 species